rnacentral:rRNA from 1 species
AUUGAACGCUGGCGGCAGGCCUAACACAUGCAAGUCGAGCGGUAGAGAGGUGCUUGCAUCUCUUGAGAGCGGCGGGACGGGUGAGUAAUGCCUAGGAAUCUGCCUAGUGGGUGGGGGAUAACGUUCGGAAACGGACGCUAAUACCGCAUACGUCCUACGGGAGAAAGCGGGGGAUCUUCGGACCUCGCGCCAUUAGAUGAGCCUAGGUCGGAUUAGCUAGUUGGUGAGGUAAUGGCUCACCAAGGCGACGAUCCGUAACUGGUCUGAGAGGAUGAUCAGUCACACUGGAACUGAGACACGGUCCAGACUCC